rnacentral:rRNA from 1 species
GUAGGGUGCGAGCGUUGUCCGGAAUUAUUGGGCGUAAAGAGCUCGUAGGCGGUGUGUCACGUCGGCCGUGAAAACCUGCAGCUUAACUGUGGGCGUGCGGUCGAUACGGGCAUCACUGGAGUUCGGCAGGGGAGACUGGAAUUCCUGGUGUAGCGGUGAAAUGCGCAGAUAUCAGGAGGAACACCGGUGGCGAAGGCGGGUCUCUGGGCCGAUACUGACGCUGAGGAGCGAAAGCGUGGGGAGCAAACAGGAUUAGAUACCCUGGUAGUCCACGCCGUAAACGGUGGGCACUAGGUGUGGGGACCAUUCCACGGUUUCUGUGCCGCAGCUAACGCAUUAAGUGCCCCGCCUGGGGAGUACGGCCGCAAGGCUA